rnacentral:rRNA from 1 species
GAUCCUGGCUCAGGACGAACGCUGGCGGCGUGCUUAACACAUGCAAGUCGAACGGAGCACCCUUGAAUGAGACUUCGGUCAAAGGAAAGGAAUGCUUAGUGGCGGACUGGUGAGUAACGCGUGAGGAACCUGCCUUUCAGAGGGGGACAACAGCUGGAAACGGCUGCUAAUACCGCAUGACGCAUUCGGAUGGCAUCAUCUGAAUGCCAAAGAUUUUAUCGCUGAAAGAUGGG